AGUCAGUCUGAAGUCCGGCCGGAUGGGAAUUGGACAGACACACUUCCGGCUAAGUACGGGCGUAAUAAUGGUGAUGAAAACUGUUCACCGUUCCUUUGAGUUCCUCGUAGAUUCUGGAUAUUAGUCCUUUGUUGGAGGUAUAGAUUGUGAAGAUUUUCUCCAAUUCAUCGCCGUUUUUUAGAGUUUUUCUCACUAAAUAUUGACUAACGGAACCUAGCCCUGUAAUGUUGAUAAUCGGGCGGGUCGGAAGUGGCUGAGGCGGAGUCUCUGCAGGAGAAGAACUGAGGCUCCUAAGUGCAGCAUCUUGUCCAGGAGGUUUCGUCCCAAUGCGUGGGGGAACAUCCGCAUUGUGAUGUUUAGCUCUCAGUUUCUAACUUGGGCAUUCUAGCAUCUGUAUUUCUCAUUUAAUGUUUUAUGGGCUCACAUGCAGAGGAGUUUUCGUCACUGAAAAGCCCGACAACUUCCCCUGCCAACCCAUUGGAAUUAAAAAAACCUCGAUAACCUCUUAAACACAUGGAAAUGGAACCCUGAGCAGAGGUAAAAGCCUAGCAGUGAUCACUCUUUUGGCGACUUGGAAAUCGGGGUGAGCUUUUAUCCGUUACCUGUGCCCUGUUGUUAGGGGUCGACUGCUGCUGUUCUUCCUUGGAAACUGGCUCCACCGCAUUUCGGGGCUGGGAUGUUGUUAAAGCAUUCACAGCCCUCAGAGCACAUGACGAGGGAGUUGGGAAAUGAAGCAGGACCUUCCACUUUGUAGCAGACUUAUUUCUGGAGAAACUGAUGGUUGGGGCCACAAAACGCUUUCAGUGUAGGCUCAUCAUGACUCAUUUGGACAUCCUAUUUUCUCUCCUUAUGUAUGAGAUUGUGGCGGGUAUCUGUACAGCCUAAGGACCUUGGGUGGACCUGGCCAGCAAUGGGACUGUUACUGAUGAUGCAUCACAUGGUGUCACUAGGAAAAGCAUAGAUCAGCUGAGGAUCAAUCUUCCCACCAGGUGUGUGUGAAAAUGUAGGUUAUGUGCUUCCUUCAGCCUCACACCUGUUGUCCACACCAGAAUCUGGAAGUAAUCUCAUUGGAAUUGGGAGAAUGAUUGAUGAUACUCAGUGGUGUAGUGAUUUGGAGAGGGGACAGGCUCAGCGUCAGUAUUUCUGCUGCAUUCCUCUGUAAACAUCUCAUGAAGUGGCUGAUUUGUGAGAAGAGGAUCAUCUACCUCCUGCAUUCCAUCUCAUGAAGUGGCUGAUUUGUGAGAAGAGGAUCAUCUACCUCCUGCAUUCAAUCUCAUGAGUAGUUGGGAAGAACAGAUGAAGUGAGGCUGUGAAGCACUGUUGCAAUCUAAGGCACUGCUCAGACAUUGGUUGAGGCUCUAACCCAUGGUCUCCCUGGAGUGGUGACUCCUGUGGUCUCCGGGGACCUUUCUCCUUCUGUGUGUGCAGCUCCAGCCAGGGUAUUUGAAGGUAGAACAUUCUUUAGGAUACAGAAUAAUGAAGCCUCAGGGUUCAUUUCAGAUUUCCUAGCAGGCUGGAUAGGGGGUGUUGUUCUUGGGAAGUUCCUCCUGGCGUCUCUGAAAUCAUUCAGAAAAAGGUUGUCCAGGUGCCUCUAGAGGGUGUUCUUGGCUGAUGUUUGUCCUGUGUUCCUCUGACUGCUAGGCUUAAGCGUCUUCAACUCAGAGUUCAAUUCCUCACAUGCUGGAAGGCAGGACAGCGAGCACUCUGGGAGGUCCACCAAGCACUUUGUGCUCCAUUCCCUGCACUGUCUGCUCAGGAAACCUCCUCACGCAACCAUCUGAGGCCUGGUCCUUAAAGUGGAACCUGUCACGCUGGAGCUGAGUGUUGCCUCGGUCCACACAGCAUCUUGGAGACAUUUAUGGUUUCUGCUCUGAGUGUCUCUUGAUGGAAUUGUUAGUGGCUGCUGCAAUGCAGAUAAUAUGGAAAACUAUUGUGGUAACUGUGGCUGUUGGCAUGGUGGCUUUCCACCUGGGAUCCCUGGAGUCUUGGCGCCUGGCAGGGGCAGCCCUGGGAGGAGGAGGAGGAGGAGACUGAGCUGGUGAGGACCUGAGCUGUUGAUCCCUUCUCUCCCACCCUCUAUGUGCCCUUAAUCCAAAGCAGUUUUUAACCUCCCCGCCUUUUGUAAAUGAUAAAGUUUUGGAUAAGAUGUUAUUUAAAGAAAGAUUUUGAUGCCAAGACAUGUUGAAAGUCCCUGCAGUGGGGAAGUCAGGAAAAGUUGGUAUGAUGCUGGGUUAUUAACCUUCUUUGGUGCAAGACCUUUUUUUGAGAUGUGAUGAAACUGUUUCUCCAAAAAAAGCUCAUACCCCACAAUAUUGCGUCAGGAUUGCUGAGGCCAUCUGUGCAUGUGGCCCACAGCCCUGGUUAGGGAUCCCUUGUCAAUUGGGAAGAUUAUGGGUUGUGGAUACAGGCAGAUAGAGAUUUAACCCUGCCUCAGACUUCACUCACUUUUUAACCUCAGGGUAUCUUAGUAAACGUCUUUACAUUCCAGUUUGUUGUCUGUAAAACAGGGACAAUUAUGUAUUUUUGUGAAGAUGAGAGAACUUCAAAUGUCAAAUCACAUGGUAGGUGUUAAGUAAAUUGUAACUACUAAAAGGCAGUAAAGUGAUGAUUAAACAUUUAUUAAUACUUCA